rnacentral:rRNA from 1 species
AUUGAACGCUGGCGGCAGGCUUAACACAUGCAAGUCGAACGAGUGGCGGACGGGUGAGUAAUGUUUGGGAAUCUGGCUUAUGGAGGGGGAUAACUACUGGAAACUGUAGCUAAUACCGCAUACCAUCGGAUGUGCCCAAGUGGGAUUAGCUAGUUGGUGGGGUAAUGGCUCACCUAGCCGACGAUCCCUAGCUGGUCUGAGAGGAUGACCAGCCACACUGGAACUGAGACACGGUCCAGACUCCUACGGGAGGCAGCAGUGGGGAAUAUUGCGCAAUGGGGGCAAGCCUGAUGCAGCCAUGCCGCGUGUAUGAAGAAGGCCUUCGGGUUGUAAAGUUCUUUCAGUGAGGAGGCGUUAAUCGCAGAAGAAGCACCGGCUAACUCCGUGCCAGCAGCCGCGGUAAUAC